GACUGUUUAAUUAAAACAAAGCAUUGUGAUGGCCGGAGACGGUGUUGACACAAUGUGAUUUCUGCCCAGUGCUCUGAAUGUCAAAGUGAAGAGAUUCAACCAAGCGCGGGUAAACGGCGGGAGUAACUAUGACUUCAACAUGAUAAUACAGGCAGGGUUCAGU
rnacentral:ncRNA from 1 species